rnacentral:rRNA from 1 species
AGAUUGAACGCUGGCGGAAUGCUUUACACAUGCAAGUCGAACGGCAGCACGGGGGCAACCCUGGUGGCGAGUGGCGAACGGGUGAGUAAUACAUCGGAACGUGCCCAGUCGUGGGGGAUAACUACGCGAAAGCGUAGCUAAUACCGCAUACGAUCUAUGGAUGAAAGCGGGGGAUCGCAAGACCUCGCGCGAUUGGAGCGGCCGAUGGCAGAUUAGGUAGUUGGUGGGUAAAGGCUCACCAAGCCGACGAUCUGUAGCUGGUCUGAGAGGACGACCAGCCACACUGGACUGAGACACGGCCCAGACUCCGUACGGGAGGCAGCGAGUGGGAAUUUUGGACAAGUGGCGCAAGCCUGAUCCAGCCAUUCCGCGUCGCAAGGAUAGAACGGCCCGUACGGUUAGUAAACGUGUCGUUUUGUAACGGAACGAAACGGUCGUACGGUUAACUACCGUGUCGCGUAAUCGACGGUACCGUAAGAACUAA